rnacentral:tRNA from 1 species
GCCUUCGUGGUGUAGUGCUCAGCACGCUGGGAGCAUAUUCCAGAGGUCCGUGGUUCGAUUCCCGACGAAGACG